GAAAUGCGAUAAGUAAUGUGAAUUGCAGAAUUCAGUGAAUCAUCGAAUCUUUGAACGCACAUUGCGCCCGCCAGUAUUCUGGCGGGCAUGCCUGUGCGAGCGUCAUUUCAACCAUCAAGCCCCGCGCUUGUGUUGGGGACCUGCGGCUGCCGCAGGCCCUGAAAACCAGUGGCGGGCUCGCUGUCACACCGGGCGUAGUAGAUUUUAUCUCGCUCAGGGCGUGCUGCGGGUUCCGGCCGUUAAAAAGCCUUUUUUACCCAAGGUUGACCUCGGAUCAGGUAGGAAGACCCGCUGAACUUAAGC
rnacentral:misc_RNA from 1 species